UAAAAUGCUUGUUUGAGACCUAUUGCGCUUGUUUGACUAGGAUUUGAGACCAAAGGUGCUCGGAAGUAGUACUAGAUUGUUUACUUUCAUGAAUGUAAUUCGAGUUAAACAUUGUAGUUUUGCCUUAGGUUGCCACUUGAAGCUGGAAAAGUGUAAACCCUGGAUUUGUAUGUGGCUUGUAUGAAUUUGUUACUUGGCUUGUAAGGAUGUAUUUGAAUUGAUGUUUUGUUUCUUGGGUUGUAUUCGGGAAGGUAUUUUAAGAAUCGAUGUUGGCUAUCUUAAGGCACUGUUA